UCAACAUUCAUGUGUGUAGGACCCCAAAAGAUCACUAUUAAAUUUGGCACAGAUAUCUAGAAAAGUUAUCACAUUGGUGUGAGACUUGAUUUUUCUAGAGAUCUGUAUCAAAUUUAAUGGUGAUCAUUUGGGGUGCUACAUACAUGGGUGUGGG
rnacentral:pre_miRNA from 1 species